rnacentral:rRNA from 1 species
AGAGUUUGAUCCUGGCUCAGGAUGAACGCUGGCGGCGUGCUUAACACAUGCAAGUCGAGCGAAGCAGUUAAGAAGAUUCUUCGGAUGAAACUUGAUUGACUGAGCGGCGGACGGGUGAGUAACGCGUGGGUGACCUGCCCCAUACCGGGGGAUAACAGCUGGAAACGGCUGCUAAUACCGCAUAAGCGCACAGAGCUGCAUAGCUCAGUGUGAAAAACUCCGGUGGUAUGGGAUGGGCCCGCGUCUGAUUAGGCAGUUGGCGGGGUAACGGCCCACCAAACCGACGAUCAGUAGCCGGCCUGAGAGGGCGACCGGCCACAUUGGGACUGAGACACGGCCCAAACUCCUACGGGAGGCAGCAGUGGGGAAUAUUGCACAAUGGGGGAAACCCUGAUGCAGCGACGCCGCGUGAGCGAAGAAGUAUUUCGGUAUGUAAAGCUCUAUCAGCAGGGAAGAUAAUGACGGUACCUGACUAAGAAGCCCCGGCUAACUACGUGCCAGCAGCCGCGAUAAUACGUAGGGGGCAAGCGUUAUCCGGAUUUACUGGGUGUAAAGGGAGCGUAGACGGCAAGGCAAGUCUGAUGUGAAAACCCAGGGCUUAACCCUGGGGCUGCAUUGGAAACUGUCUGGCUCGAGUGCCGGAGAGGUAAGCGGAAUUCCUAGUGUAGCGGUGAAAUGCGUAGAUAUUAGGAAGAACACCAGUGGCGAAGGCGGCUUACUGGACGGUAACUGACGUUGAGGCUCGAAAGCGUGGGGAGCAAACAGGAUUAGAUACCCUGGUAGUCCACGCCGUAAACGAUG